AUGGCCAUCUCACUCGGCGUCCGUCGCCUCAUGGUUUAUGACGACUCAGAUUUGGUAGUUAAUCAAGUGAUGAAGGAGUGGGACGUCAGAAGUCCAGCCAUGACUGGUUACUGCAAUACGGUGAGAAAGCUUGAGAAGAAGUUCGAGGGGUUAGAACUCCACCACGUCCCCCGAUUGAAAAAUCAAGCAGCCGAUGAAUUGGCAAAGAUAGGUUCCAAGAGAGAAGUCAUUCCCAGCAAUGUGUUCUUGAAGCAUAUUCACACGCCGACAGUUCAGGAAGACCCUUUCACUGAAGAGCCUUGUUCUAGUGCUGGAGUAGUUCUGGUAUCCUACCGAGGAGACAAGCUCAGAUAUGUCCUCCAGAUUCACUUUGAAGCACUUCUGUAUAGGUUGCGCAUGGCCAUCUCACUCGGCGUCCGUCGCCUCAUGGUCUAUGGCGACUCAGAUUUGGUAGUUAAUCAAGUGAUAAAGGAGUGA
rnacentral:rRNA from 1 species